UGACCGCUGGCGGCAGGCCUAACACAUGCAAGUCGAGCGGAUGAAGGGAGCUUGCUCCUGGAUUCAGCGGCGGACGGGUGAGUAAUGCCUAGGAAUCUGCCUGGUAGUGGGGGAUAACGUCCGGAAACGGGCGCUAAUACCGCAUACGUCCUGAGGGAGAAAGUGGGGGAUCUUCGGACCUCACGCUAUCAGAUGAGCCUAGGUCGGAUUAGCUAGUUGGUGGGGUAAAGGCCUACCAAGGCGACGAUCCGUAACUAGUCUGAGAGGAUGAUCAGUCACACUGGAACUGAGACACGGUCCAGACUCCUACGGGAGGCAGCAGUGGGGAAUAUUGGACAAUGGGCGAAAGCCUGAUCCAGCCAUGCCGCGUGUGUGAAGAAGGUCUUCGGAUUGUAAAGCACUUUAAGUUGGGAGGAAGGGCAGUAAGUUAAUACCUUGCUGUUUUGACGUUACCAACAGAAUAAGCACCGGCUAACUUCGUG
rnacentral:rRNA from 1 species